rnacentral:rRNA from 1 species
GACGGAGGAUGCAAGCGUUAUCCGGAAUGAUUGGGCGUAAAGCGUCCGCAGGUGGCAGUUCAAGUCUGCUGUCAAAGACCGGGGCUUAACUUCGGAAAGGCAGUGGAAACUGAACAGCUAGAGUAUGGUAGGGGCAGAGGGAAUUCCUGGUGUAGCGGUGAAAUGCGUAGAUAUCUGGAGGAACACCUGCGGCGAAGGCGGGUUGCUGGGCUGAUACUGACGCUGAUGCGCGAAAGCCAGGGGAGCGAACGGG